AGGACGAACGCUGGCGGCGUGCUUAACACAUGCAAGUCGAGCGGAAAGGCCCUUCGGGGUACUCGAGCGGCGAACGGGUGAGUAACACGUGAGUAAUCUGCCUUCAGCUCUGGGAUAGCUCCGGGAAACCGGGAUUAAUACCGGAUAUGACCACUUCGGACAUCUGUUGUGGUGGAAAGUUUUUCGGCUGGAGAUGAGCUCGCGGCCUAUCAGCUUGUUGGUGGGGUAAAGGCCUACCAAGGCGACGACGGGUAGCCGGCCUGAGAGGGCGACCGGCCACACUGGGACUGAGACACGGCCCAGACUCCUACGGGAGGCAGCAGUGGGGAAUAUUGCGCAAUGGGCGGAAGCCUGACGCAGCGACGCCGCGUGGGGGAUGAAGGCCUUCGGUUGUAACCCUUUCAGCAGGACGAAGCGCAAGUGACGGUACCUGCAGAAGAAGCGCCGGCUAACUACGUGCUAGCAGCCGC
rnacentral:rRNA from 1 species